GAUGAACGCUGGCGGCGUGCCUAAUACAUGCAAGUCGAGCGAACUGAUUAGAAGCUUGCUUCUAUGACGUUAGCGGCGGACGGGUGAGUAACACGUGGGCAACCUGCCUGUAAGACUGGGAUAACUUCGGGAAACCGAAGCUAAUACCGGAUAGGAUCUUCUCCUUCAUGGGAGAUGAUUGAAAGAUGGUUUCGGCUAUCACGUACAUAUGGGCCCGGGGUGACUUAGCUAGUUGGUGAGGUAACGGCUCACCAAAGCAACGAUGCAUAGCCGACCUGAGAGGGUGAUCGGCCACACUGGGACUGAGACACGGCCCAGACUCCUACGGGAGGCAGCAGUAGGGAAUCUUCCGCAAUGGACGAAAGUCUGACGGAGCAACGCCGCGUGAGUGAUGAAGGCUUUCGGGUCGUAAAACUCUGUUGUUAGGGAAGAACAAGUACGAGAGUAACUGCUCGUACCUUGACGGUACCUAACCAGAAAGCCACGGCUAACUACGUGCCAGCCGCCGCAGUAAUAC
rnacentral:rRNA from 1 species